GACGACAAUCACGUAGCGGUUCUCUGGCAUCGCAGUCGUACGUAACGUCCGCCAUCUUUUCUUUGUCGCUCGUCUCGUUACGGAUCGUAAUUCUGCAAUAUUGGCACAUAAUUUGUCGAGGAAACACGUAUUUUACUACGAGAAGUGAAAACGACGCGAGGGAAAGAUGAGUUACGGCAGGCCGCCGCCCCGUAUCGACGGGAUGGUCUCUCUGAAAGUCGACAAUCUUACAUACAGGACGACGCCGGAAGAUCUGAGGCGCGUGUUCGAACGAUGCGGGGAGGUCGGCGAUAUUUACAUCCCUCGCGAUCGCUUCACGCGUGAGAGCCGUGGCUUCGCGUUCGUCAGAUUUUAUGAUAAACGUGAUGCUGAAGAUGCAUUGGAUGCCAUGGAUGGAAGGCUGCUGGAUGGCAGGGAACUUCGAGUUCAAAUGGCUCGAUAUGGACGUCCAACGUCUCCGCACCGUAGUCGUGGAAGUCGUCGCCGUGGCAGAUCACGAAGUAGAAGUAGAGAUCGGAGACGUUCUCGAACUCGAUCUCGCAGCAGGUCACGCAGCCGUGAUAGAGAUCGCAGGCGCUCUUACAGCCGUAGUCGCAGUCGCUCUCGUUCUGACAGCAAAAGCUCGCGUGGCAAAUCACGCUCGCGCAGCAAAUCUCAAGAUAGGCAAAAAGACAGUCGAUCCAAAUCCAGGGACUGAGCUUAUUGAAGAGUGCAAGCAGAUAAGAAUGAAUGUUCGCGCGUCCAUCGAGUGCCGAAUAAUCUAUGUUGAGAUUGAAAAAAAAGGCGGUGGAAAGGAGUGGCGUGGCGCGGGUGUAGCCGAUGAUGGGGUAGCUGAGAGUAAGCAGUAAGCCGAGUAGCAGGGGGCUGUAAGCAGUUUGCAGUAGCGCGAGAGAGAGAGAGCGAGCGAGCGAGCGGUGUUGGCGGUGCGGUACGGUGCGAUGCGGUGCGAUGCGGUGCGAGGCGGUCUGUUCCGGUGCGGUGCGCUCCAAUGGUCUGGUGAUCCGGUGGUUCGUUCAAAGGCGGGUUUGCGAGAGAUCAGGGCGAGAGAGAGGGGGAGAGAGAGAGAAAUCGAACGAAAGAUAGACGGAAUAGAUGCCAGUUCAUCCGCAAGUAUAAAAGAACCAUCGUGAAAACUCUGCUGCUGACUUCGUCAAACUCCGGGGCGCAGUAUCGGGUUCUAGCAUCGCGCGACUGAUCACAUCACCAGACCUCGCGAACAGAGAGAAAGAGAGAGAGAGAGAGAGAGAGGGGCUGAUUCAUAAGCACGUAUUCAUCGAUCGAUCAUCGGCGAAUGGAGUCACGUGAAACGGUAAACUACUGGUAGAUCAUAGCGCACACACCAUUGUGU
rnacentral:misc_RNA from 1 species